rnacentral:rRNA from 1 species
UAGAUGGCGACCGGCGGCACGGGUGGAGUAACGACGUAUCCAACCUUACCCCACUAGUAGGGCGAUAGCCCGUAGAAAUGCGGAUUAAUACCCUAUGUAUUCCGAGGAUGACAUCUGAUUCGGAACAAAGGUUCACCGCUAUGGGAUGGGGAUGCGUCUGAUUAGGUAGUAGGCGGGGUAACGGCCCACCUAGCCGACGAUCAGUAGGGGUUCUGAGAGGAAGGUCCCCCACAUUGGAACUGAGACACGGUCCAAACUCCUACGGGAGGCAGCAGUGAGGAAUAUUGGUCAAUGGGCGAGAGCCUGAACCAGCCAAGUAAGCGUGCAGGAUGACGGCCCUAUGGGUUGUAAACUGCUUUUAUACAGGGAUAAAGUCGGGGACGUGUUCCCCGUUUGCAGGUACUGUAUGAAUAAGGACCGGCUAAUUCCGUGCCAGCCGCGGC